GCUUUUUUUGCACGGAGAGGAAAAGCAGUGGUAGUGACCACGCUCUGCUGUGGCUCCACCACACCAUGAAGGCGGCUGUUACCUUCCUGCUGCUGCUUUCUGUAGCAACUCACGCCGAACACCGAGGUAGACCAUAUGUUCGUGACAAAGUCUGCCAAGAGUUCAAGACCAUGGGGAAGGAUGACUUCCGAGCCAUGACCCUCAUCAUGAACAGCAGGAAGUUCUCCAAUGCUACCUUCGAGGAGAUCAGCCACCUCGUGCAUGAGAUGGUCUCACUGGCAGAGACCUGCUGUGCGGAUGGUGUUGACCCUUCCUGCUACGAUACUGGGUCUUCAGCCCUGUCAGCCAAGUCCUGCAGCCCCGACUCGCCUUUCCCUGCCCAUCCGGGGACAGCCGCCUGCUGCCUUCACCAAGGCCUGGAGCAGAAGCUGUGCCUGGCUGCCCUAGAGCACCCACCACGUCAGCUGCCCCACUAUGUUGAGCCUUCCAAUGAGGAACUCUGUGAGGCAUUCAAGAAGGACCCGAAGGACUUUGCUGACAGGUUCCUGCACGAGUAUGUCAGUAGCUACGGCCAGGCGCCCUUGCCCGUGCUCUUGGGCUCCACCAGGAACUUCCUCUCCAUGGUCUCCACCUGCUGCAUAUCCCCAUCGCCCACUGUCUGCUUCCUGAAGGAGAAACUGCAAAGAAAAACUCUUUCCCUACUCACUUUGAUGUCGAACAGAGCUUGCUCCCGCUUGGCAGCAUAUGGGAAGGACAAAAUGAAGUUCAGCUACCUGACCAUGCUUGCCCAGAAGAUACCGAGUGCUUCAUUUGAGGACCUUUCCCCUCUGGCAGAGGAUGCGGCUGAGAUGUUCUCACAGUGCUGUGACUCAGUGGCUGAAGACUGCAUUCAGCAGAAGUUGUCGGAGCACACCACAAAGAUCUGCGCCACACUGUCAGCCAAAGACAAAAGGUUUGCUGACUGCUGUGAAGGAAAAAAUGUCAUGCAAAACUACUUCUGCAUCUCUUCCCUGCAACCAGCUGUGGCCCCCAAACUGCCUGAACUUCAGAAGCCAACCAACAAGCAAUUGUGUGAUGAUAACGGGGCCCUCCACACCAGAAGGUACAUGUUUGAGCUGGCACGGAGGCACACCAAUGUCCCUGAUGUCUUUCUUGGCAAGCUGUAUGAUGCCUCUGAAAAUGUCAUCAAGGAGUGCUGCUCUGCCAAGGAUGCUUCCAGCUGCCUUGACGGCAAGCGACAGCAAAUGGGAACAGAGCUGCCUGCCUUCCUGGAAAAGACCGACCAGCUCUGUGGACAGUACACUGAGCUGAAUUUCCUUGACUUCAAGAAGAGGCUGAGGGACAGCAUCAGGCAGACCAGGCCAGAUGCUAGCCCCGAGCUGCUGACACAGCUGACAGACCAGAGAGCUGAUUUUGCCUCCACAUGCUGCCCAGCGAACUCGCCACCACUGUACUGUGUUGCUCAGGUGACUGCAGAGCUGGCAAGUACAUGCAAGCAGGGCUCCUGCAUGCUGGUCUAGGUGUGGGACAGUGAAGAACAAGAAAAGCCUCUGCAUUUGCUGUCCUGGAGCCACCACGGGGCUCAGAGCAGAGCUGUAGGAGUGGACUUCACAGUGUGACCCCAGAGCAAUCCCAGGCAUUGCCAAGAUAAAGAAGAUCUCAGAUAACUUCUCCAGCAGGAGGAGUGCACAUGACCCUGACACAUGAUCUGGUCUCGUCAAGAUACCCCAAGCACUACACAGCUGCCGGUGUCAACACAUUGCCCAGGACAACAGUGCUUGCCUAAAAGGAGCAGCGAAUAUUUUGCUGUCCACACUUUGUCUACAAAACCCAUACCAAGAAGGGCUCAUGGACAAUUUCUGGCAGGCUGGCAAGAGGUGGAGACAGUUUAUGGAGGAGGAGAUCAGCUCAAAGCCACCCAGCUCCCACCCAGCUGCUUCAGCAGGAGCAAGUAAAUCAUUUCUCCAGGCAAUAAUUCCAUAGCCUGCACAGAAGCAGCUGACUGUGCCAGAGUCCUGAAGUGCCUGGACUGAAGGAACAUGCUGACUCCUGCAGAGAAUGGUCAUCUGGGUAAGUGCAGAUUUAAAAAAGCUAAGACUCUAUGAAGUACGUGUGUACCUCUGUGAAGGGCAUGUGAAAUUGAUAGCUGCCCUGGUUUGCUGGUUCCCACCCACUGCCAGCAGUCUCUGCUGAGAAGUGAGGCUGCUCCCAAGAGAAGACAAAAAUCUCGGUUUCAGAUGGAGAUGAGACUCAGGUCUGUUCAACUCUGAUUCCUGAACAAAGUUAUAUUUCUUUCCCAAAAAGCUUUAGUAAAUUAUUUCAAGGGAGUACAUCUGUCAUUAAAGCACGCUUAUAGAGCCAUAUAUCCCAGAUCUCUUUGGGGUUAUAAAGGCUGGCCGUAUGUUUCUCUGCAUGUACUGGUGGGACCUUUUUGAACAUCCUCUCCAUCCAGAGACCUGCCAGACAUUUGGCCUUAGCAAUGGUAACAAUGACAACAGUGAUGUAGGAAUCUUCAUUCAGUCAAACCAAACGGAAUACAUAAAAUUAAAGCAACAACAGAAACACACAACGCUCCAAUAAAUGCAUAAAGUUACUUUAUUUUCAGUAUACAUUUAAUUUUGAAAAAUAUAAAUGCUAAAAUAUCUCAUCAUCUUCAUCUUUUGAUUCCAUAAAAGUCACAAUAGAAAGCUUCAUAAAACUGUAAAAUACUAUGUUAUAAGGAAUUUCAUGGUUUAUAUUAGUGGAAAAAAUUUUAAUAUAUUGAAAUGUUUUCUGCUUUUUUCGGUUUUGUUCCACCAUCUUGAUCCACUUCAUUUUACAUUAAUUCUUUAUUCUUCCCUCCAAAGCAAAUACAGACUUAAGAGAAUUAAAAAUAAUAAAAGUAUCUGAAAGUGCGUAUUGAUUCCAAGGAAAAAAAAAAAGGUAAUGCAUACAAAUAUAUGUCAGCCGUGACGACAAAUAAGUAGUGGCUACAGAGGCAGACCGUCACCAUUUCCAUGGGCCUGGGACAAAGCUGUCUGCAGUUCGUUUGUUUUCCCUGGGUGAUGGCAGGAUUUCUGCCCUCAGUUGGUAGCUGUUCUUGUGGGACUUCGAAGAGAAGCUGUUUGGGGAAGUUUUUGUGGUGUUUUUUUUUUAAAUGGACUCUUCUGAUUUCAGAAGAGCCUUCCCAGAAGCCAGAGGUGCUUAUCCGGGCUUUUCUCACCAAAUGUCCAAUUCUGAACCAAAAUUAAUUUUAGCUGUAUUGUCACAAGGCCUACAAAGCGCAGUGAAACUCAUCUUGUGGUGACACCAGCCCACCAAAUGCUAUUAGGUGGCUGCUUUUCACUGCCUUCCAUCUCUUGGUGCCAGCAGAGCUCUUGCUUGCUGUCUUUGUCGUUGUUUAAUGUUUGUAUAGGAAAACAAAAAUAGAAAGGACACACAACCUUCCACAAAGUGCUGCUGUCAGGAAGCAGGAAAUGAAAAAUUUCCAGCUCCUGUCUCCAUCCAGAGUUGUUUUGGACAUGGAGAACUACAGAAAUCUUUGUCCCGUCCCUUAAACAAUGCUACCCUCUGUACAACAGCUCGUCUGUUAACGUAAAAAAUAAAAAAGAGAAAGGUCUAGAUCAGCAGUCAAUACAUUUCAAGUACAUUUAACAUGGUUCAAAAGUGGAAGACCUCAUUUUUGUGAAGACAAAUCACCAGGUAAUAGCAGAUGAAAGGAUGCAUUAUGUGUGUGUGCGUAUAUGCAUGUGUGCAGUAUGCUGCAUUUUGAGCAUACUGUAGGUGGGGGGAGAGUUCUUUUGUCAGUGCUCUCUUAAGGAAACCUUUUUCUCUACAUUAACCUAUGCUGAUCUUUCCUUAUUUGGAUUUCUACAAAUAAAGUGUCUGGGCGAAACAUAACAGCUCACAUGCACUGCGUACAUGAUGACACUUGAGUCUGUUUCCCCUUUGGUAGUCUGUGACUUACUUUCACCAAGGAAUUGAAAGAGUUUCUUCUCCACGUUCACAUUGCACUUCCCAGGUUCUCUGUCCUCCAGCUAAUCCUAGCACACAGCAGAAGGGAUCACGCCGUGGCUGCUUUUCUGGCUGCCUCAGUUGGCUCCUCACCCUUUUUGAAGCAGGUUUGGGCUGCGUUUAUGGGAUGCUGAUAUCUCAGGGGCAGCAAAGAGGAACAGCUGCUCUCCCUUCCUGUUGCACUGCUUUCUCACAGCAAACAAAAAUGUUAGGUAAGGAGAAAUUUCGAUUCCUUGGUAACAAGCUGGGGAAUGUAUGUGUGUGUGCAUGUGUGUAUGUGUGUGCUGUGCCAAUUCCUCUGUAGCUCAAUCAUCUUUGUGCAGCAACGAGCACUUGCACAAGAUCGUGCAAAUAAUAAUAAUAAUAAAAAAAAGUAAAAACAAUAAUAUUAUUACAGUGCAUAUAAUUGCAUCUUUUAACCAGAACCAGUAUCUGGGAAAAAAAGAGUCCUAGUUUGCAGCUCUGAUUGUUGAUGUGGUUGCUACUAGUUUGUGGAUGCUAAAAUUUGGCAUAUAAGGUCUCUCAGCACUGCGACAAAAUCCUAUUUCCUUAAUCAACAUGGACUUUGGUUUCUUCACAACAGGUGUGAAAGUCACUAAGCUCUACUUUUUUCUUCAGUAUCUUUGCUACUUUAGGAAAAAAAAAAAUGAAACAAAGCCAUGUGUUAGGCAUUACAGAGCAGUUUCUGCAAGUGCGUUUUUUAAUGCCCGGCACUGGGGGCUAUUAAGGACUGUCAUCCCCCUCUCCUGCUGCUGGGCAGCUGCUCUCACUGCUGCUUCAGCCCAUUAUGCUUCACUGCAGGGAGCUUCAUUUUUAAAGCGAAGCCUUUGCAGUGUGUCAUAUGUAAUCCUCACGCUUGAAAUGAAUGCGCUGGGGAAGGCCAGUUUCCCAAUUGCUAUAUACUCAAGUUCACUGUAUACCCACUGCAGAGCAAAAGGAUCUGUCACAAGGCGCUGCUUGCUGGGUUUAAAACCAAAAACCUGUGUCACUGUGCCUGCUUGAUUUGUGACCGAUACAUCAUCGUGUGUGAAAGGUUUGGCUUAUCUGGCGGAGUGCCGAGCAGUCCAGGUGUAGGAGUAAACUCUGUACGUGACAGAGAGCAGUGCCUGGGCACUGUCAGUCCUCGAGGAGGACCUAGAGCUUGUGUCUCAACUGCACGCGGGGUGUUUCCACUUGCACACAUACACACACGUGCACACACGGAUGUUUCACAUGAAAGAAUUCUAACAAUACUGCGUAGGAGAUCAACAAAAGGAAUACAAUCAGCAUCUGUCCCCUGACACUGUUCAGCAGUCAGUCUUUCACUUACCCACAGUACACUUAAGACUCUUCCUUGCUCACGAGAGAUUUAAGUUAUAUCCCAUCUCCUUCAUAGUGAAGUUAGGUUAUUCAUAACAAAUAAAAUAACCCUAAGUCAAACAGAAGCUUUAGAGUAGAAGGUGUUAAUAAAACUGAUCCAGCCCUAUGCCAUGUCCUGGAGAUUGUGUGUUUCUUUUCUUGUUUGUAAAAAUCACAUUAUAUAUGGUACAAGACAUCUUUACAGAAAGCCUGGCAUCUAGAAAUAAGAGGUAGAACUACUCAAAACUAUACGUUUCCUGCUGCAGGAAAAAUUCAUUUUUCUUUACAGUAAUUAAAAAAAGGUUAAAAAAAUUGUCAAAAAAAAAAAAGUCAUAGGUUAAGCCCCCAUAAUUUAAACAAAAUAAUCUAGGAAAAUAACACUCUUCAAUGUACCUGACGGAUUAAGUCCAUUAAAGUGUUUUUUUAAAAAAAAUUGCAUAGGAAAGGGACAUUUCAAAACACAUUGCUACAACGAUGGCAAUAGUUUGUCUGUGCUGGGAGUGAAGUACCUUUGAGUUUUCCUUCCUGUGUUACUACAAGUACAGGCUUUAAGAGCAAGUUAGUAUUAGCAGCACUUUCCAGCAUCUUAGAGCAGUGUAAUAAAGACAUUGAAUUAGCCUGGAGGUCAGUUUUGUUCUGCCAGACAACAAACAAACAAACAAACACUGAUUCACAACUAAAGUAAUGCCAGUUCCUCUGACAUUUCACAAAAGUAUUAUAUUAUAUCCUUAAUACUUCUGCCCUCUGCUUGAAAAUGAGAUGCGUGCAUGUCUAAGCAACAGAGAAGGCAAAAAUGAGUCUUGGUCGAAGUGGAAAGAUCGGGUGAGGAUAAAUAAGAGGAAGUCUGCAGGGGGGGUAAGGGUGGAGCGGGGAGCACAGAAUGUCUCAUUUACCUAUGCAGGUGGGGAGCAGAGAGCAUUGUAAUAUUUGGCUAGUGACAAAAUAAAUUCCAUGUAAGACUUAACAGACAGACAAAUUACAAAGUAGUUUCUGUUCCCUUGCUCCUCCAGAAAUAACCAUUGUCUUCAGGCUCGAGUUCUAUUCUAAUUUGAGGCACAACUUUUACUGGAGUUCGUGGAGGGCUGCGAAGAAAAAGAAGGCAAGGCAGGAAACCCUUGACAUUGGCUUUCCACAUGCUGGAGGAGUGGCAGCCAUUAAAAUGAAAAGGGAGCCUCUGCAAGAACUGCUUUCUACACCCAGUAGUACGUAAAUGCACAUAUCCUGGGGCAAGGUAGCUUGCAGAUGAAGGCACACUAUUGAAACGUGUCAGAAUUUUUACAUCCUGCUUCACUGGAGUAACAGAAGAGAAAAAACAUUUUUAUGUUGUCUCCCACAGCUGAGAGAGAGACAACGUGGGAAUGUGCACACGUGGUUUCCUGUUGAUGUGACACCAAUAACGAACAUACAAGUCUUGGGUCUCAUCAGCAUGUUCUUAGAUACAACAAUUCUUUAAGAAUUAGACAUGGCCUACGUGUGCCCUCAGAUUUUGCAGUAUAAAAUUGCUAGGAUCGUGUCUGCAAGAAACUGAAGGAAAAGCUUUUUUCUGGGUAAGACUGCACUCUAAAGCACUGGGGAAAAAAAUAAGGGACAUGUCUGAAAUGGGUGUCUACAUCUAUGCUGAAAUUUAGCAUCACCAGCAGAUGCGUACCAAGAUUACACGUACGCUCUACUGAAGGGUUGUACUGCAGAGUGAAAGCUCAACUUGGCUAUAAAAAGAUGUCAUCCAUUCCUAGCAACAGAAGACUGAUUUUUAAGACUGAACAGUUUGCUCCAAGUGAUAAGGAUCAGUGGCAAAAGGUAUUCCUCAAAAUGGAUCUCAAACUUUGACUUGCAUAAUUUAAGCGGGAUUACAGAGGUGAGAAAUUACUCGGGGAGUAGAAAGAUGCCGUGCAAACACCCUUCAUUAUUUCACUAUAAAUCGCCUCUUCAUUAAAAGUACUUUCCCUACAGAUAAGCAGGGGGCUGGCUGUUGGUCAGAUCUUCAUAAUCAGACUGGAAUUUAAUAGUCUUCCUGUUCACAAGUGUAAAAACUGAGGUUUUAUCAUUAGAUCCAGCCACAUCGGUCAGUGUACCUUCAUUGAGUUUGUGCCAUUAUAUCAAACUUAAGCAAACUCAAAGAUUCCCUUAUGGGCAAAGAGGAAGUCUUCAGAUCUUAAAUUCAGCAUUCACUGGUACAAUGCAGCCAUGAGAAUGAAAAGGAACAGCAUGCCACUAGGAACUGCUUUUAGUAUCUUUAUAUAUUAUUAGCAUGUGGCCUAGCAAAAAUAUUUGUAGGUUUUGCUUUUUUCACUUGCAUCAGCUUUUCUCAUUUCACUAGCAUCAGAGAAUAAAUGCCUUUGUUUUGU